rnacentral:rRNA from 1 species
CAUGUCCUUUUGAAUUUAAUUUAAGGUCUGGUCUGCUCAAUGAUUAAUUAAAUUGCCGCAGUAUUUUGACUGUGCAAAGGUAGCAUAAUAAUUAGUUUCUUGAUUAGAAACUGGAAUGAAUGAUUGGACGAGAAAAUUACUGUCUCUUAUAGAUGAUUUAUUUAAUUUUAUUUUUAAGUUAAAAAGCUUAAAUUUAUAUAAAAGACGAGAAGACCCUAUAGAGUUUAAUAUUUUAUGUUUAUUAAUUUUUGGUAAAUUCUUUAAAUAUAAAGUAUUUAGUUGGGGUGACUUAGAGAUUAGAAUAAUUCUUUAAAUUAAUAAUUGUUGAUAAGUAAUUUUUAAAUCUAGAUUUUUAAAUUUAAAAUUAAUUACCUUAGGGAUAACAGCGUAAUUUUUCUUUAAAGUUCAUAUUAAAAGAAAAUUUUGCGACCUCGAUGUUGGAUUAAAAUUAAUUUUUGGUGCAGUAACUUAAAAAUUAGGUCUGUUCGACCUUUAAAAUUUUACAUGAUCUGAGUUUAAACCGGUGUAAGCCAGGUUGGAUUCUAUCUUUAGAAAUAUAAUAUAUUUUAGUACGAAAGGACCGAAUAUAUAUUAGAUAUAAUUG